rnacentral:lncRNA from 1 species
AAUAGACUGGAGGGAGGAAAAAAAUGGAAGUGGGUAUACCAGUUGUUUCAAAAGAUAGAAUCUGGUUGCUUAGACUGGAGUAGGAGAGGUGGAGGUAGGGAGAAAUGGAUGGAUUCCCAGUAGAACCAAAAUACCUGGUAAGGGAUUAGGGUCAUUCAUUCAUCCAACAACUAUUAUUGAAUAUCUACAAUGUAUCAGGCACUGGGAUAACUUCCAGAGGUUCAUCAUCAACUAAGAGGGGAAUAUGAUCUCUGAACUCACGGAACAUCAGUUGGAUGUGAAGUAUGAGAAGAACAAACCAUCAGGUAAAUGGCAUGAGACAUUUCUGGAAUGAGGACUAUGGAUGGAGGAACAUAUUAGCAAAUAGGGUAAAUGCUGAGUUGUCUUUGGCACAUGUUGAUUUUGAGUGCUCAUUAGGCAGAUAAGACAUUGAGUAGAAAGUUUGAUAUUUGGGCUAGAAGUCUAGGAAGCGGGACUCAAAUUGGGAAUCAUUUGCAGGUAAAGGAGUGGAUGUAAUAUAAGAGGAGGCUUAGGGCACAGACAUAAGGAAAUCAGCAUAUAAGAGGUGGGUCAAGGAAAAGGAUGGUCCAGAAAGAGACCUAGGCAAUGCUCAGAGGAACACCAAGUUAGUACAGUGCCAGGAAAGGAAAAUGAGGGGAUUGUUUCUAGAAAGAGUUGAGGAGCAACUCUGGAUGUUGAGAAGUUAUGUAACUUGAUGGUUAAGACUUCAGUUUACUUCCUGGGCUUGAAUUCUGGCUCUACAUAUAUUAACUCUGUGACCUUCAGCAAGUUACAUCAUCUUUCUAUGCCUGAGCUAUCUCAUUUCUAAAUGGGGAUAACAAAAACAUUUACAUUAAGGGUAUUUGUGGUAAUGAAAUGAUUUAAUAUUUAAUAUUUAAUAAAGGGCUCUGAACAGUGACUAAAAUAGUAAAGGCUCCCUAACUGAUUGCUUUUAUCAGUACUACUAGUAGGAUCAGUAUUAGUAGAUGUGUUGACUUUAGAGAAGAGCCACAUUUCCCACAGAAGGGCCUGCUGUAGUAUUUUUGACAUACUCUGGCACUGGUGGGAGCAUCCUGUAGGAUUUGUAGCCCCACUUAAAAGUGGUGAGGGAUUUCCAAGAGCAGUGUAAUUAGGGGCCUUUGGUCAAUAAUACUCCCUGCC